GACGAACGCUGGCGGCGUGCUUAACACAUGCAAGUCGAACGCUGAAGCUCAGCUUUUGUUGGGUGGAUGAGUGGCGAACGGGUGAGUAACACGUGAGUAACCUGCCUCCUUCUUUGGGAUAACGCCCGGAAACGGGUGCUAAUACUGGAUAUUCACUGGUCUUCGCAUGGGGGUUGGUGGAAAGGGUUUUUCUGGUGGGGGAUGGGCUCGCGGCCUAUCAGCUUGUUGGUGGGGUGAUGGCCUACCAAGGCCUUGACGGGUAGCCGGCCUGAGAGGGUGACCGGUCACAUUGGGACUGAGAUACGGCCCAGACUCCUACGGGAGGCAGCAGUGGGGAAUAUUGCACAAUGGGCGCAAGCCUGAUGCAGCGACGCCGCGUGAGGGAUGGAGGCCUUCGGGUUGUGAACCUCUUUCGCUCAUGGUCAAGCCGCAACAAUGGUUGUGGUGAGGGUAGUGGGUAAAGAAGCGCCGGCUAACUACGUG
rnacentral:rRNA from 1 species